UCCUCCGGGAGGCAGCAGUGGGGAAUCUUAGACAAUGGGGGCAACCCUGAUCUAGCCAUGCCGCGUGAGUGAUGAAGGCCUUAGGGUCGUAAAGCUCUUUCGCCUGUGAUGAUAAUGACAGUAGCAGGUAAAGAAACCCCGGCUAACUCCGUGCCAGCAGCCGCGGUAAUA
rnacentral:rRNA from 1 species